CUCCUUUGACGUUAGCGGCGGACGGGUGAGUAACACGUGGGUAACCUACCUAUAAGACUGGGAUAACUUCGGGAAACCGGAGCUAAUACCGGAUAAUAUUUCGAACCGCAUGGUUCGAUAGUGAAAGGUGGUUUUGCUAUCACUUAUAGAUGGACCCGCGCCGUAUUAGCUAGUUGGUAAGGUAACGGCUUACCAAGGCUACGAUACGUAGCCGACCUGAGAGGGUGAUCGGCCACACUGGAACUGAGACACGGUCCAGACUCCUACGGGAGGCAGCAGGC
rnacentral:rRNA from 1 species